rnacentral:misc_RNA from 1 species
CAACCCUCGGUCCACACCGGUUUUGAGCGAGCGCUGGGUCCUCCGGGACCCGAGCUGGCUUUAAAGUUGUAAGCUCUGCUGGCUGCCCCGCCCGACUUGAACAUAGUAAACUUUGCUUGUUCGCGGUUGAGGUGGAAGCGGUACGGCCUGAACAAUACCUACCCAACUCUAAG